rnacentral:rRNA from 1 species
UGGCUCAGGACGAACGCUGGCGGCAUGCCUAACACAUGCAAGUCGAACGAGACCUUCGGGUCUAGUGGCGCACGGGUGCGUAACGCGUGGGAAUCUGCCCUGGGGUGCGGAAUAACUCGGAGAAAUCCGUGCUAAUACCGCAUAAUGUCUUCGGACCAAAGAUUUAUCGCCCUGGGAUGAGCCCGCGUAGGAUUAGCUAGUUGGUGGGGUAAAGGCCUACCAAGGCGACGAUCCUUAGCUGGUCUGAGAGGAUGAUCAGCCACACUGGGACUGAGACACGGCCCAGACUCCUACGGGAGGCAGCAGUGGGGAAUAUUGGACAAUGGGCGAAAGCCUGAUCCCAGCAAUGCCGCGUGAGUGAUGAAGGCCCUAGGGUUGUAAAGCUCUUUUACCUGGGAUGAUAAUGACAGUACCGGGAGAAUAAGCUCCGGCUAACUCCGUG